ACAGGGUGCCAUUUGAGAGAAACUCUGACAGAGUCAAGAAUAUGCGACAUGACUUUGUAGAGAGAGUAUUGGAGCUGGAUGCCCAUGUAAUUCGCCAUUAAUUUAUUUAUGUUGAUGAGGUUGGCUUCAACCUCACCAAAAGCAGGCGCCACGGAAGAAAUGUAAUAGGACAGUAAGGCAAUUACCAAUGUCCCUGGACAGCGUGGGGGUAAUAUAACUAUGGACAGCGUGGGGGUAAUAUAACCAUGUGUGCUGCCAUCACUCAAAACGGGGUCCUCCAUCACAAUGCCACACUGGGUCCGUACAACACCGGCCAUAUGCUCACUUUUCUGGAUGCAAUUUACACAAUGCUUGUCCCCGAUACAGAUCAGAAGCCUGCUAGAUUUGUGGUUUUAUGGGACAAUGUUUGUUUUCACCGGGCUUGUUUUGGUCCAAAACUGGUUAGCCACCCAUCCACAAUUUGUAGUUUUGUACCUACCCCCAUAUUCACCUUUUCUAAAUCCCAUAGAAGAAUUAUUCUCAACCUGGCGCUGGAAAGUGUAUGAUCGCCAACCCUAUGCCUGCAUGCCGCUUCUCCAGGCAAUGGAGGACGCAUGUGGGGACAUAGAGGUUGCCUCUGUCCAAGGUUGGUUACGCCAUGCUAGGAGAUGUUCCCUCAAUGUUUGGCAAGAGAAAACGUAUAUUGUGAUGUGGACGAAGUAUUGUGGCCAGACCCAGGCCGGAGAAGAGAUGAAGCGUAGUUUAGCACUGGUGACUGGAUUUAGAACAACAGUGUUUACGUGGUAUAUCCAAAAAUGUACUAUUAUGAAAGCAGUGUUUGCCAUUUGAUGCAAAUGCUUCAUUCUGACAUGUGUGUUUAUGGCAUUUUGAAUGCAGCUUUACAUUUUGAAGGAGAUGUGAGGCAUUUUGUGUGUGCAGUUUUGGGAAUUGUGUGUAGAGUUUUGAAAAAAGGAGACAGUUUUGAAAACUUGUGUAAGCAGUUAGAAAAAACUGUAAUGGGAUAGUUCACUCAAGCUAUCGUUUAGUAUUUUGUUCUUUUGUCCACUAGUUUUUGAGUAAUCCUUUAAGAUUAUUGAAUAGUAUUGGAUCUGUUUUGCAACAUUUAUUUGCAAUGAAGUAUUCAGUUCAAGGUCAAAUAUAAUAUCAGUUACACAUCUGAAUUGAUGACACUGAACAAGUG